GUGGGGAAUCUUCCGCAAUGGACGAAAGUCUGACGGAGCGAUGCCGCGUGAGUGAAGAAGGCCUUCGGGUCGUAAAGCUCUGUCAUCAGGGACGAACGGCCGGUGGAGUGGAAAGCCACCGGAUUGACGGUACCUGAGAAGGAAGCCACGGCUAACUACGUGCCAGCAGCCGCGGUAAUACGUAGGUGGCAAGCGUUGUCCGGAAUUAUUGGGCGUAAAGCGCGCGCAGGUGGGAUCUUAAGUCCAUUUUGAAAGUUCGGAGCUCAACUCCGUGAUGGGAUGGAAACUGGGAUUCUUGAGUACCGGAGAGGAAAGCGGAAUUCCCCGUGUAGCGGUGAAAUGCGUAGAUAUGGGGAGGAACACCAGUGGCGAAGGCGGCUUUCUGGACGGUGUCUGACACUGAGGCGCGAAAGCUAGGGGAGCGAACGGGAUUAGAUACCCUAGUAGUCC
rnacentral:rRNA from 1 species